rnacentral:rRNA from 1 species
UACGGAGGGUGCGAGCGUUGUCCGGAAUCACUGGGCGUAAAGGGCGCGUAGGCGGCCUGAUAAGUAGGGGGUGAAAUCCUGCGGCUUAACCGCAGGGCUGCCUUCUAAACUGUCAGGCUCGAGCACAGUAGAGGCAGGUGGAAUUCCCGGUGUAGCGGUGGAAUGCGUAGAGAUCGGGAAGAACACCAGUGGCGAAGGCGACUUCCUGGCCCGUUCUUGACGCUGAGGCGCGAAAGCGUGGGGAGCAAACAGG